rnacentral:rRNA from 1 species
GCCAGUAGCAAUAGCGUAUUGAACACACCAGUUCCCAAUGGAUCACUGAAGUUAAGCAACAUUG